rnacentral:lncRNA from 1 species
CCCGCCCCAUUUCAUAACGAACUUCGUAAGAACAUGAAUUGUCCAAUUUCGUGGACAAAUCGAUAUCGGAUUGAGUACAAAACUUAGGGAACAUCAUAAUAUGAUGGGUGGAGUCAUUUGGUGAGUUUUGAAUGAAAUCCAAUGGCUAAACUAUGCAAUACACCAGCCACGCCAUUUUAUGACGAACUUCGUACGAACCUGAAUUGUCCAAUUUCGUGGACCAAUCGAUAUCGGAUUGAGUACAAAACUUUGGGAACGUCAGAAUAUGAUGGGUGGAGUCAUAUGGUGAGUUUCGAAUGAAAUCCAAUGACUAAAACUAUUCAAUACACCAACCACUCCAUUUCAUAACGAACUUCGUACGAACCUGAAUUGUCCAAUUUCGUGGACCAAUCGAUAUCGGAUUGAGCCCAAAACUUAGGGAAGAUCGUAAUAUGAUGGGA